ACAAGUACCCGUGAGGGAAAGUUGAAAAGAACUUAGAGGUGAGAGUUCAACAGGGCGUGAAACCGCGUAGAAGUAAACGGAUGGUGCUGACAUUGUUUCUGCCGGAUUCAGCCAGUCUGACGGACCAACUUCUGUUCGCAGAUCGCAAGACUGUGGGCGGAGUGUUCUGGACCUAGGACUGGUGCAUUUCCGGUGGAAUGCAUCAUGACCGCUGACGACGCUGGCAUAAGGCUGGAUUGUUGCCGACUGCAGGUUUUCGGACUUGCAGUGCCCCACUUUCCAUGUCCUGUCCGAGUUGGAGUCAGCGGGAACUGGACGUGCCCGGCUUACUCAUGCUUCGUUUUCUCUUGGUUGAUCGAAUAGUUUGACUGUGCUUGCACGGUUAGACGACCCUCUGCCAUUUGACUGCAAGGCGUUUGAGGUGGUACYGAAGGUCUAUGGUGUCCGCGUCAGUCUCCCAUCCGACCCGUCUUGAAACACGGACCAAGGAGUCUAACAUGUGCGCAAGUCGUAGGGUGGAAAACCCGAAGGCGCAAUGAAAGUAAAGGCCGCAAGGCUGAGGUGUGAUGCUUAGUUUAACUGGGCCGCAACACCGUCCCAUCGCAUCGGCUCGUCCGGGCGGUGGAGAAAGAGCGUACAUGUUGGGACCCGAAAGAUGGUGAACUAUGCCUGAGCAGGAUGAAGCCAGAGGAAACUCUGGUGGAGGUCCGUAGCGGUUCUGACGUGCAAAUCGAUCGUCAGACUUGGGUAUAGGGGCGAAAGACUAAUCGAACCAUCUAGUAGCUG
rnacentral:rRNA from 1 species